UAAGGAAUAUUGCGCAAUGGGCGACAGCCUGACGCAGCGACGCCGCGUGGGGGAUGAAGGUCUUCGGAUUGUAAACCCCUUUCGGCAGGGAAGAUGGAACGGGUAACCGUUCGGACGGUACCUGCAGAAGCAGCCACGGCUAACUUCGUGCCAGCAGCCGCGGUAAUACGAAGGUGGCAAGCGUUGUUCGGAUUUACUGGGCGUACAGGGAGCGUAGGCGGUUGGGUAAGCCUUUCGUGAAAUCUCCGGGCCUAACCCGGAAAGUGCGGAGGGGACUGCUCGGCUAGAGGAUGGGAGAGGAGCGCGGAAUUCCCGGUGUAGCGGUGAAAUGCGUAGAGAUCGGGAGGAAGGCCGGUGGCGAAGGCGGGUUGCUGGGCUGAUACUGACGCUGAGGCGCGAAAGCUAGGGUAGCAAACGGGAUUAGAUACCCGAGUAGUCCCUGAGCGGGCUGGCAAGGCGCAU
rnacentral:rRNA from 1 species